UUGGAGGGCAAGUCUGGUGCCAGCAGCCGCGGUAAUUCCAGCUCCAAUAGCGUAUAUUAAAGUUGUUGCAGUUAAAAAGCUCGUAGUUGAAUUUCGGGAUCAAUUUAUUGGUCGUGCCAACGGUACGCACUGGUACAAUUGGUUUCUCCCUUCUGACGAAGCAUGAUGUCAUUAAUUUGAUGUCGUGGGGAAUCAGGACUGUUACUUUGAAAAAAUUAGAGUGUUUAAAGCAGGCUUUGGCUUGAAUACAUUAGCAUGGAAUAAUGAAAUAGGACGUUUGAUCUUAUUUCGUUGGUUCCUAAGAUCGACGUAAUGAUUAAUAGGGAUAGUUGGGGGCAUUAGUAUUCAAUUGUCAGAGGUGAAAUUCUUGGAUUUAUUGAAGACUAACUACUGCGAAAGCAUUUGCCAAGGAUGUUUUCAUUAAUCAAGAACGAAAGUUAGGGGAUCGAAGACGAUCAGAUACCGUCGUAGUCUUAACCAUAAACUAUGCCGACUAGGGAUCGGAUGAUGUUAAUUUUUCUUGACUCGUUCGGCGCCUUACGGGAAAC
rnacentral:rRNA from 1 species